rnacentral:rRNA from 1 species
UACGUAGGGUGCAAGCGUUUGUCCGGAAUUAUUGGGCGUAAAGAGCGUGUAGGCGGCCAUGUAGGUCCGUUGUGAAAACUCGAGGCUCAACCUCGAGACGCCGAUGGAAACCAUGUGGCUAGAGUCCGGAAGAGGAGAGUGGAAUUCCUGGUGUAGCGGUGAAAUGCGCAGAUAUCAGGAAGAACACCCGUGGCUAAGGCGGCUCUCUAGUACGGUACUGACGCUGAGACGCGAAAGCGUGGGGAGCGAACAGG